rnacentral:tRNA from 1 species
GCCAGUGUGGUGUAGUGGUUUGAGCAUUGGACUACAACUCUGGGGACCAGGGUUCGAUUUCCCGCUUGUCC